CUUUAAAAUCAUACAAGUUUGAAAAAGUUCGUGUGGCUCUGAUUAAAAGCACGUUUUUUUUUCCACGGAUGGGUAUUAUCUCACACUUCACUACAUAUAACAAAUCUUUCAAGAUUGAAUUUUUAGAUUAAAGAACAUACAGAGAAGGGCUGGACGAAAAUGGCCAACUUCGUUCUGCAACUGCCAACCAGCAACUUGAGAAGCUUCUCUGUUUAUGCUUCAUCUAACGUUGAAUGCAAACUAGGGGCUCCUAUGGGUACUGGUUCACAAAGUGGGGGCCCUGUGAUUUUGGAGCUUCCGCUUGAUAAGAUCAGGAGACCCCUGAUGCGCACCAGAGCAAAUGAUCCAAACAAAGUCCAGGAACUCAUGGACAGCAUUCGAGAAAUUGGACUUCAAGUACCUAUUGAUGUGCUCGAAGUUGAGGGAGUUUACUAUGGUUUCUCCGGUUGUCAUCGUUAUGAGGCUCACCAGCGCCUUGGGCUCCCAACAAUCCGUUGCAAAGUUCGACGUGGAACCAAAGAAACUCUCAGGCAUCAUCUUCGCUGAGUGGUAGUAUCUGCUUCUUAAAGUGCAUACACAACUUUGAUGAUGUUAAUCAGACAGUAUAUGCACUUCUCAGCUUUUUGCAAGUGCAGUAUAUUCUCAACCUAUUUUAUUCUUGUUCAGGAAAAUUGGAUUACCCUUUGAAUGGCUGGAAACUGUUUGAACACUCCGCACCCAGACUUUCUUGGGAGCCUUGAGCUGAAAAUUCAGUGGCCCUCUUUGCCUUCUGCAUGCUGCUUUAUUCAUUGAAAUUGAUUAAAUGUGUCCAUGGAUUGAUUGACAGUAGUAAGGAAUGGAGCAGAAGAUUUGCUAUCUAUUAGUAAAGUUCUUUCCCUCAAUGUAUAAGACCUUAAUUCUUGUUAGGAGCUUCAACCAAAAACUCUGAAUCGAUGCAUAGGUACCCGUCUUGCAGCCACUCUGCAAUGCUAAACGUGGUUGUGAAAUCAGAAUAUGAUGAUGGAAAAAGCCUGAGGGAUAUCGCAUUUGUUCUUGUAAGGGCUGGAAUCGGAAAUAACAUCAAAAGCUUGCAAGCAAUUCAUCAA